rnacentral:rRNA from 1 species
CUCUGUGACUCCUACGGGAGGCAGCAGUGGGAAUAUUGCACAAUGGGGGAAACCCUGAUGCAGCCAUGCCGCGUGUGUGAAGAAGGCCUUCGGGUUGUAAAGCACUUUCAGUAGGGAGGAAGGUAGUGUAGUUAACACCUGCACUAUUUGACGUUACCUACAGAAGAAGCACCGGCUAACUCCGUGCCAGCAGCCGCGGUAAUACGGAGGGUGCGAGCGUUAAUCGGAAUUACUGGGCGUAAAGCGCAUGCAGGCGGCCUGUUAAGUCAGAUGUGAAAGCCCCGGGGCUUAACCUCGGAAUUGCAUUUGAAACUGGCAGGCUAGAGUCUUGUAGAGGGGGUAGAAUUUCAGGUGUAGCGGUGAAAUGCGUAGAGAUCUGAAGGAAUACCAGUGGCGAAGGCGGCCCCCUGGACAAAGACUGACGCUCAGAUGCGAAAGCGUGGGGAGCAAACAGGAUUAGAUACCCUGGUAG